GAUUGAACGCUGGCGGCAGGCCUAACACAUGCAAGUCGAGCGGUAGCACAGAGAGCUUGCUCUCGGGUGACGAGCGGCGGACGGGUGAGUAAUGUCUGGGAAACUGCCUGAUGGAGGGGGAUAACUACUGGAAACGGUAGCUAAUACCGCAUAAUGUCGCAAGACCAAAGUGGGGGACCUUCGGGCCUCAUGCCAUCAGAUGUGCCCAGAUGGGAUUAGCUAGUAGGUGGGGUAAUGGCUCACCUAGGCGACGAUCCCUAGCUGGUCUGAGAGGAUGACCAGCCACACUGGAACUGAGACACGGUCCAGACUCCUACGGGAGGCAGCAGUGGGGAAUAUUGCACAAUGGGCGCAAGCCUGAUGCAGCCAUGCCGCGUGUGUGAAGAAGGCCUUCGGGUUGUAAAGCACUUUCAGCGGGGAGGAAGGCGAUAAGGUUAAUAACCUUGUCGAUUGACGUUACCCGCAGAAGAAGCACCGGCUAACUCCGUGCCAGCAGCCGCGGUAAUACGGAGGGUGCAAGCGUUAAUCGGAAUUACUGGGCGUAAAGCGCACGCAGGCGGUCUGUCAAGUCGGAUGUGAAAUCCCCGGGCUCAACCUAGGAACUGCAUUCGAAACUGGCAGGCUAGAGUCUUGUAGAGGGGGGUAGAAUUCCAGGUGUAGCGGUGAAAUGCGUAGAGAUCUGGAGGAAUACCGGUGGCGAAGGCGGCCCCCUGGACAAAGACUGACGCUCAGGUGCGAAAGCGUGGGGAGCA
rnacentral:rRNA from 1 species